rnacentral:tRNA from 7 species
GGAAAGGUGGCCGAGUGGUUGAAGGCUCUAGUCUUGAAAACUAGCGAAGGUGCAAGCCUUCCGUGGGUUCGAAUCCCACCCUUUCCGCCA